GAGAGGAGGGUUAGGACAGCAAGGAAGUGAUCCUGCUUUAAAAAUAUGUGUUGUUCCCAUUUCUAAAUGAAUCCUGGUUUCUCCUGCUGCUGCUGCUUGACACCGUCGAGCCACAGGAAAACAACCAAGAACCCUGUGGAUUAUUCAGGAAACAGCAGCAGAAUUCAUGGUUUGGGCUGGAAGAGCCCUUAAGGAUCAUCCAGUUCCACUCCCAACCUGCCAGAAGCCCUGAGCUCCACCCAGCCUGGCUUUGGAGCCCCUCAGUGCUGCUCUCUCUCACCCCACGCAGGUGUGGGGGGCCAGGGGAUGCAGAUGCCAAGGAAAUUGUUGAGCUCUUUUAAAAAGCAACAGAGCCAGACUGGUGAAGGAACCAAGAGGCACCACUGUAAAACUGUCAUUCCUCUGUUCCCAGUGCUGCUGGGACUUGGCAUCAGCUCCAGGCCUCUGUUCUAGGUAGCCUCUCAAGGCAUCAUGGGGAGAGAAAUCUCAGCAUUGCAGCAUUGCUGCCCCUGGGGAGCCCCCGGGCACUG